UACGGUAGGGAGCAAGCGUUGUCCGGAAUCAUUGGGCGUAAAGCGCGCGUAGGCGGCUCGAUCAGUCUGUUGUGAAAGUCAAAGGCUCAACCUUUGAAUGCCGAUGGAUACUGUCGAGCUAGAGUCCGGAAGAGGCGGGUGGAAUUCCUGGUGUAGCGGUGGAGUGCGCAGAUAUCAGGAGGAACACCAACGGCGAAGGCAGCCCGCUGGGACGGUACUGACGCUAAGGCGCGAAAGCGUGGGGAGCGAACGAGGA
rnacentral:rRNA from 1 species